AGAGUUUGAUCCUGGCUCAGAUUGAACGCUGGCGGCAGGCCUAACACAUGCAAGUCGAACGGUAACAGGAAGCAGCUUGCUGCUUCGCUGACGAGUGGCGGACGGGUGAGUAAUGUCUGGGAAACUGCCCGAUGGAGGGGGAUAACUACUGGAAACGGUAGCUAAUACCGCAUAACGUCGCAAGACCAAAGAGGGGGACCUUCGGGCCUCUUACCAUCGGAUGUGCCCAGAUGGGAUUAGCUAGUUGGUGAGGUAACGGCUCACCAAGGCGACGAUCCCUAGCUGGUCUGAGAGGAUGACCAGCCACACUGGAACUGAGACACGGUCCAGACUCCUACGGGAGGCAGCAGUGGGGAAUAUUGCACAAUGGGCGCAAGCCUGAUGCAGCCAUGCCGCGUGUAUGAAGAAGGCCUUCGGGUUGUAAAGUACUUUCAGCGGGGAGGAAGGGGAUGUGGUUAAUAACCGCGUUCAUUGACGUUACCCGCAGAAGAAGCACCGGCUAACUCCGUGCCAGCAGCCGCGGUAAUA
rnacentral:rRNA from 1 species